AAGUGAAAAGCAAAGAGGUGUGCUAAACCUUUCUGUUUCCCAGAAAUCUCAAUUUAUAAUUCCUGUUCAGCACUUUGCAUGUGCAAAGUGAUGAGGAGGAUCAGCUAAUUUAGGCACAGGUACACUAGAGCUGCUUGGGAGAGUGACUGAAUAUUUAACUUGCAUAACUGAAUGAUUUCAUAUGGCUUGUAAACAUGCUUGUGACUAAACUACAAAGGGGUGCUAGUAAAAUGUCAUCGGGACGUCCCUCCCACCCUCUCACCGCUGUGAAGGGUUCUGCACCUGGUUGCAAGGAAAUAUAUACUCUUAUAUCUGUUCCUUCUUUUAAUAUGUACUAUCUACCUGAAACCCUUACGCCUGCGGAGCAAAAGCUUCCAAGCCUUGUGUAAGUUUUCACUUGAGCAACGCCCCGAACUCAGCCUGGUUUCCCAGCGUGCAUGUGACUGAGUCAUUUUUGCCAGUGACAUAGGAAAAUGGCUUGUACGCGUCUUACAAAAACGUGUUCCUCAUUUACAAGAUCCCAACAACCCCAGUCUUUCAAGUUGUCUCUUUCUUUCUUAUCUUUUCCCCCCUUAAAACAACACCCAACACCAACAUCAAGCUUGUCGAUUUUUAAGGCGGGGGGGAGAGGAACGGGAAAUGCGGCACAACGUAGGCGCCAGGUGCACAACCACCCCUCCGCGUACUGUGUAGAGCGUCCCCAUGCAGACACACGCACGUGCAAGCGCGCACACACAUCUAGAUGCAAAUGAUUUCCGUGAAGCCAUCACUUGUGAAGCUUGACAGAAAAUAAUGAGAAACACUAAAUCUUUUAUAAGGUCAACACUCAAGCAGCUGUCAAACAAGAAAAGAAUUUAGCGAAAGAGCCGCAAAAACUUCCAUCGCCUCAUUAAACCCAACAGGGCCCGGGCCUGGCGUGGUGAGGAGACGCCAGGGCGCCUCCAUUUUGUGUCAGUAAUUUGCGGUGGAGGAGGAGGGAAGACGAAACAGCCAGCGCCGAAGGGGCCUAGGGGGAGGCUGGGGAAUCGUUAGCGCGCCAGGAGCGGCCUCGGCUCCUAAUUGGAAGCAUUGGGCAUUAUCAACGGAGGAUUUGCCUCAGCUCCCUGACAGCUAUCUGGGCCUGGAAUGAUAGCCCACUUGUCAGUGUAAAAGACCAUUAAAAACAAACCAUUUUGAUUUAAUUGGAGGCGGUGCGCUGAGGGCCCAGGUGAGGAGCCUCAUCAGCCGAUGCUGGCUGCUGAUGCCUUUUUCCCCCUGUAUUGAUGGCUUUUUUUUUUUUUUUUGGCUUUUUUUUUUUUUUCUUCCCUUCCCCUCCCUUUCAAAAACUGUCUGGGAAAGAGAAAGAGGUACUGAAAGAUCCUUCACAGUCACAUUGAGAUCUGCUUUCAAUAGGGUUGUCAACAAAUGCUAUGACAAGUUACAGAGCGAGGUAGGUAUUUUUAAAACAGACGUUAUUCUGUCCACAGCUGAGCCGAACUCGGAGGGUGUGUGUAGGAUUAUUAGGGUUAUAAAUACCGUGCCUUUCACUGCAGGAAGAGUGGUUAACAUGCCUGAUUUAAAUUGAGGGUUGUUUCCUUUCUCCCUGCUUCCUUUUCUAAUUGAGAAGGGAAAUGCAGGGAGGAAAAGAUGAAAUAUGUUGGGGGAAGUGAUUAUUUUGCUUCAAAAACACAAAGAAUUUUAAAAAAAGUUAGGGAUUUUUGUCUGCCUGGCUUUAAUAUACCUUGGAGCAAACUGAUGCAGGGCCCUUGCUGAAAAUGAGGACCUUGUAGGAUGUUUCUAGAUGGGCACCAAGAGUCACUGGCCAUUUGCUCUUGGGUAAGAAGCCAAGAGGGUUUGGGGAAACUCAUUCACCUCCUUGAACCAUGAUCCAGGCAUAUGCCUCACCCUGGCAAGUAUAGGAGCAGACUGGAUCUGCUAACUUCUACACUAAUGCAGCAUAGAAGCUGCCACGCUUGGCUGGACCAAUGGUUUAUGUAACCCAUCAGUGGCAAAUAAUGGAUGCGUUGGAAGAGGAUGAGAAACGGGGUGUGUGCAGUGCAAUCCAUCCCAUUACACCCCCACUUACCAGUAGUCCAAGGCUUAGGGGUGGUGCUGAGCCCGCGGUUACAUCCCUGACUACUGUAUUUUAACAGCCUCUGAUGCCCAGGGGAUCAAUGGGACUGGAAAACCGGAUCCCUCGUCCAGCAUGUCGGUUGGCAAGCAGCUUCAGCACUUGAAAGCUGAAGAAGCUUGUGGAAAGGGCAUGUGCCAUACAGAAGGCAUGGAUCUGUGGUGUAAGUCGUGACACAGCAGUGCACACACGGGAGGGAAUUGCUGAAGAGCAUUUUUAUUCUGUUUGCAGUAGGGCAUUGAUGGCAAAUUGGGGGCCCAUUUUCUUAUGGACAAGUGUCCACAGGGUGUGAAUGGCAUCAAAAUGGGUCCUUGUUGUUGGCCCUUGCUGGUCAUCUAUGUGGAGACCAGGUUUGACUGCGUGUCCUGACCUUGCCUUCUCACCAUCUUGGCUCCCCUGUACUCUGUGGAGCUUUCGAAGGCUUCCUUCUCAAGGGCUAUCAGGUUGGUAUCUCCUACCAGCAUUAAAGUUGUAUGGUGUGGGUGGCUUUUUGAGGUUUUUAAUAAAUAAAAUGUGGGAGGAAAACAAUUAUAAAAUGGGUUUUCAUUAGGGAGAGAAAAAAUAGCCCAGGCCAGCUCUUGCCUGGUUAAGUUCAAGGUGUGUAUUUGGAUCUAGCAGUCUGUCUUGACUCCCUAUGGAGAUCACAGAAGUGGAGCAGCUGCAGAUGAAUGCCAUGCAGUUAGGGGGUGAUGGUUUCUGGUUCUGAGUUGGGGCCAUCUCUGACUGACUAAAAGGAGAGAGAACCCUUUUCCCCUUAAUAAAAAACAAAAAACUUCUGGAUUUUUCCCCAUCUCUCCCUUUCACCGAUAUAAAUCCGGGAUCUGGAAGAACUGCAUACAAAGUCAAAGGCACGGUAUAGUGGGUACUGAAUGGAAGGGUGAACAUCUGAGGAGUCCCGAUGAGUGCUUAGUGGCACAAUGGAGAAGUGAGUAGGUAUGGCAUGCACACGGAGAUGGAGCCUGGCACAAACUGGAUCUGUGAGGUUAUCAGAACCAUGGACAAGUGACUGGCAAGGGUCAUGAUCAGUGUGGCUGUACUGAGUGUAAUACCAGCCACUAACAGGCCAAGCUGCUUGAGAAGAAAGGCAUUUUCAAGCUUAACAUUGGUGACAGCAAUGGGGUGGGAGUCCUGCAUCUAUCGGCAGAACAAGUCUGACACAGGCAGCAAUAAAUUCCUUUGCUUUUCCACAACCCCGAUCUGGAGAGUUCAUGUCUAAGGGGGGGAAAAGGUAGUUCAGUGUCCCCUGGCCCAUUCAGUGUUUAGUGCCUCUGCUGUACCUUUAGGUUUUCGUAUACUGCUUGUCACCGAGGCUUUUAAGCUUCCACCAAGGAUAGCUGCUAGAACUCGAGGUAGCACUUGCUAUGGUUUUCUCUCCACUAGAAGCCAGUCUGAGACCUGCCAAACUCGUUUUGCUUAGGGCACCCGAUGCUGUUGAGUCUUGGUCAGUCAACAUUGCAACCUGAGCUGGAUUUGAAUGGGAAACUUAGUGAUGGGAAGCACUUUUGCCCAUUACUUUAUUCUUUAAGCCUGCUCCAGGCCCCCAGGAGACGAGUUUUAUAACGUUCGGCAUUUGUGAAGUUUUUCUGUCCUCCUCAUAGCUGUGAAGAUAAAUGCCAUAUCUAUAAAGCUAGCCUACUGUGUAUUCUGUGUAUCAAACACUGGUUACUUAAGCACAGUCUAAGGCAUUUCUGACAAGGCAACAAUAGCAAGAUUACAUGAGCUGUGCUUGUCAGUUCGGUUCCUUAGACAAAGAUAGAGGUGCAGCAUUAAGGAAAAAAAAACAACACAUCGAGAGAGAGUGUGUGUGUGUGUGUGUGUGUGUGUGUGUUAAACCUCAACUGUUAAUUUUUAUGAGGGAUCAGACUGUGAGCAGAUAUCAGAUCCCCGGUGAGAAUCAAAUUCUGGAGCCCAGAAUUUUGCUGCAAAGUUUAUACAGUGGGGAUUCCUUAAUUACUUUCACUGGAAAUUUACCUGACAGUGCUUUCUCAGGUAAUGCAAGGCAUAUUCGAGGAGAGCUGCUCAUCCGUUGACAGAGUCUUUGAUUUUGUGCUAGGUUGCAAAUUAAGUCUUUUGCCAAGGUAUCCUAACACUUGCUUGUCAAUUGCUUAUCGCUUAUUCAUAUAGCAUAUUGAGUGUAGCUUGUUUUAUCUGUUUGGGAAAGCAGUACAUGUUGACAAAUGUGUUGUCCAAAGUUGCUAUGGGUUUUUUGUUUUUAUUUAUUUUUUAAUAUAUAAUUUAUUUUUUUGGUCAAGUAAACAAGAAGGUUCUCCCUGGAAAGCAGCCUGCGUGCCGAUUUUUGAGCCCAAACCUCUAACAAGUAAAGGGAAAUGCAUGCAUGUCACCGACACAGAGUAGGUGCACUUGCUCUGAUGUGCAAGGGCUGAUUCUGCUCUCUUGCCUUGCUGCAGAAGUUGAAUAACUCCACUGAAGUGGACCGUCAUUCUGGAUUCGGACUAACAGAACUCAGACGAGGCUGGCCAGCAUCGGCCUAUUGACAUGCCAGCUUAAUAAUUAAGCAUUUAUGUUAUGGCAGUGCCAAUCAGGAUUGGUGCAAUGUUGUAUUUCUUUUGCCACUCCCCUCCCCGAACCUGAAGCGACUGUUCUGAUUAAUUCUACACAUGGCAAACAAUGACCUUCAUUCAUGCAAAGAACCAGCUGCAUUGGGUGAAUGAGGAGCAUAGUGGACACUGGCAAUGGGCCAGGGGCUUGGUCUGCAUGUUUCAAUGAAUGGUUUUCCUGAGGGAUUGAUCCCUGUUUUAUCCCCUGGGAAUUCAGUCCUACUCCUCAAAGGACAGACUGGGAUGGGUGUUCAGAGGCUGUGCAGAGGGGGAAUGUCCCUGUAUUUUGCAGAAUGUUGCAUGUGCACAUAUGCGAUUACAGAUAAUCACAUAUAUACCCGUUCUGGUUUUCAGUGUGGGGGGGUUAUAUCACUUUCCCUGAGCUCAUUAGAAAUUGGCCUCUUUAAUUCCCAGGAAAUUUUUUAGUGAGAAGUUAAAUUGGUUGCAGAUAAGAAACCAUUGCACAAGCAAGAAAACCCCAAAAAAUCAACCAGAAUCUAGGAGCUGAAAUGUAACUACAAAGAAAGCAACUGCAAGAGAGAGCGGUGUCCUUUCCUUUCUGUGGGUGGGUGGAAGCUUCCUGUUGGGGUAAGCGAGGGGUUAACUUGAGAGCUAUUUCUGGUUGUGUCUUGUAAAAAAUAAAUAAAUAAAUAAAAAAUACCACAAUUCAGCAACUUUCACUAAUGAACUGCACCUUGGCGUGUCACUGGCUCCCCACUACCCUGUUUAUAUCAGCAAGCCGGGCAGCGACUGCAGAGCCGGGGGAGCCCAGGAGACUGGAGUCCGGGUUAGCCUUCCACAACGAGACGUUAAGUAAGAGCAAACAGUACGGCGGGUGAAAGCUUGUAAAUCAAAUGCUUAGCUUAAUAGCAUGCGCCAUUAUUCCAAAGCAGUGGGGCUGAAACAGAAAUCCAAAUGAAAAUAUAGUCAAUUUGUCUAUACUUUAGUGACUGAAUGACUAUGUAAUGUCAGAACCUUGGCGCAGAAGAGAAUGGGCAGAGGCAAUUAGUGAGAGGGAGCGAAGCUCCUUUGUUUUCUUCCUUUCCCCACCCCGCAGCAGGCACUAGUUUGCAGCCAUGUGUUGGGCCUCGCUGGAUCCAGCGUAGACUCCAGUCUAAAGCACUGAAGAUCAUGAAGCUCUGAGUGAGUGAGCCUCUCUGACCUUCGUACGCUUGGAAGAUGAAUAUCAUUGUCAUUUUGGGUAAUUCUUUCUUUUUACUUAAAAGAUAGAGUUGGGUUAUUAAGUACAGAGUAAUUAAAAGAAAAUCAUUGUCAGACCAGAUCUUUCUUGAAGAAAGAAUAACCCUCCCAGUGAAACAAAUGCAAGAUGAGGCUCAGUGUUUGCCAAGCACUUUGGAGAAUAUAUGCUAAGCCAGGCAGGGGCGGGCAACAUGUGGCCCACGAGCCGGAUGCGGCUUCUAUCUGGCUUGAGGGGCCCCUAAAAAUUUAGAAAAUUAAUAUUUAUCUGCUCCUGGCUGUCUGUCAUGCAGCCCUCGAUGGCUUGCCAAAACUCAGUAAGCGGCCCUGUGCUCGAAAUAAUUGCCUGCCCCUGUGCUAAGCCUCGAGUGUGAGCACUGGAGAUUGUCUUCAUAGACACUAGGGCUGGAAGGGACCUUGGAAGAUCGAGUCCAGCCCCCUGCCCCAGGGCCAGGAGGUCAGCUAGGGUCAAAUGAUCCCAGCAAGAUAGACAUCCAAAUGUUUCUUAAAAGAGUCCAGAGUAGGUGCUUGCACCACUUCUGGAGACAGUCUAUUCCAGGCCUUGGGGGCUCGGACAGUAAAGAAGUUUUUUCCUUAUGUCCGGCCUAAAACGGUCUCGGAGGAGUUUGUGAUCAUCUUGAAGAAGCUUUUCAUUGUGUGCCCCAUCACUGCCACCACUGAGCGGGGCUGUAGUCAUCUUGUUUCCCUUCCCCAAGGGAGGACAUGUGCUUCUGAAGCAUCAGAAGUGAAUACAGGGACACACUGUUAACCAAGUUUUCUCGGUCGCAGAUCUUCAAGUGAGCCUCGGGGUAUACAACUGCUAAAUAACAACUAGCAUCUUGCCUUAUGCAACAAUUGGGAUAAAUCCACUGAAAACGAUAAAGUCCUAUGCAGACAGAGAGAUCCCUACUGUCAACUGGCUCAGGAAAACAACGGCAUGUUUUUACUGGAAGGGAUGUCAACCCUGUAGCAGAAAUGUUUAAACCUUGUGCUUCCCCAUCCUGUUGGCUGUGCUUGUGCGAGGGUGUGCAGCCCCCCAUGGCAGAACACACCAACGUAAGGGAUGGACAUCUGAUAGCAGCAUCAGCCCCUACCACUGAAGAGAACUCGGAUUCAACAUCUGUUUCCUGGGGAAGGACACGUGAGAUCAUCGAUCUCUGACAGGCCCAGCUUUAGGGAAGAGUUCUUCCUUUCAUAAUAGGAAGCAUGAGGACCCAUCAACCUACAAGUUCUUUAUUGGUGAAGAAUAUAAAGGCGUCUUGAAUGUGGAGGUAAGCUUGAUUAUUUUAUUUUAUUUUUUUGAGCCCACCUGGAGGGGAGAAACCCCUCUCUAAUGACAGAGGGAGGCUUGACUUGGGGAAGGACCCAGGUAAUAACUUGCCAACUAUGGUAACAUGAUGGCAAGCAGCUGAAAACUUCUCCCAAUGAAGUGUGCAGAAGUUUCGCCCAUGGCUUCAAAGAUGGAAAGCUCAAGUUUUAAAGGCCUGAUCCAAACAUGUCUCAAAAGCAGAGAGAGACUUUUCACUGUCUUCAUCGGGCUUUGAAUCCGGAUCCCUAAAGUGCUUAUCGGUGGAGUGUGCCUGACCACAGGGAAGGGGUUAAACAUAUGUCAGUGAUUAAUUGCAAUUACUAAUACCAUACAGAGUUCAUGAUUAAUGCCUUGUCCCGGAAAUGAGAGGACAGAAAAGCAGUGAUAACUGGUAUUGACUGGCUCUGCUAGGUGAAUCCUUAAAGGAGCACGCAAUACAGAUGUUUGUCCCAGAUGUAUUGAGAAAAGGCAUGACACCUGCCGGUAGCACAGGGCUUCCAACUACCUCAGCUCUUUCAAGAGGAUCUGCAAAAGAUUUUAAAAACUUGUGCUGGGGAUUUUUUUGCUCCUUUCCAAUGGGUAAGGAGAAUCUGAAAGGGAUUUUUUUUCCCCCUCACUUCUGUUUCUACCUCAGAAAUAUUAGGAAUGCCUUAUCUUGCUUAUCUUCUUGCUGGGGGUCUCUAGGGAUGCCUUCUGUUUGUAAGCUUUCAUACCUUAAACUAAGUGGGAGAUGGUUUAUAUGUUAAGGUGUCAAUGCUUUUUUUCCCCUUCCCUACCAUCUUCCAAAAUGUUAAACAGGCAUUUAGGCUAAACGGGCAUUGGACUGUUUUUCCUUUUCCUUUGACUGCAAACCCCUUUGUGUCUCAGAUCCUGAUUCAGAAACAUAUAUAAGCACACACAUAAGCUUCCUCCACAGCCAGCAAGGCCUCAGCAUGUACUUAGUGGUAUGUUACUGAAUCUGGGCCUUCACUGCUGAACUUUCACUCUUGGUUUUUAUUGCAAGGCCAUUGACUAGUUCUCCAGUCACCAAAGUCUCUUCCAGACUAGACUAGAUCUGACUCUUAAACUUCUUCUAGGGUUAGGGAAGAGUCAUCAAAUGAUCAGCUCUCACACUGCACUUGAAACUCUUGUUCAUCACUCACUGGAUACUCGUACAACAAAAAAAUUUGGAAAAUCAUCAGACGGGUCAACACAUCUGUUGCCUUCAAAGCAAACUGAAUUCCAGAAUGGAGCCAAUUGGUGGUGGGAGGAAUAGGUUGGGCCAGUAGAAAAAGAACAAGGUGUAGAGCAAGGAAGUCUUGAGUUAAGACUCCCGGAUCCAUCAGUGACUCCUUGAAGCAAAUUCUUUCUUUCUUAGACUUAGCAUCAUUUAAAAAAUCUGCUUCCGGAUGAAUUUGAGGACUGAUUGUUUGUAAAACACUGCCAGCCCCAAGUAUCACUGCAUUCACAGUGCCUUCCACCAGAGGGUCUCAAGAUAUUGUAAAAAUCUGAGCCGAACCGUACAGCCUUCUCUGCCACCCAACCCACACACCGGGAGAUAAAUACAGUGUUGUUAUAACCAUUUUACAGAUGGGGAAACAAACACUGAGCUGGCCACUUUUCAGGUGGUCUUUGGAUGUAGUAUAAUGAUAAAGGAAACCAGGCUGCAAUGGACAGUACUAGCAGCUUUCCUUUCUGUGCUGUGCCAAAUAUUUUAGCAAAUGCCUAUGCAAAAACGCUAUCUUGCACCCCCGUUUGAAGUUCGGGUGCAUCUGAUUUUUACCUUGGUGAAAAAUACAAGAAGGGACUGCCUUGCACAAUUCCAGUAUUGUCCCUUCAUGGAAAACAAGGGUCGGAAGGGCCCUCGGGAAGUCACGUCUAGUCCAUCCCCCUGCUCAAAGCAGGACCAGCCCCAACUACAUCGUCCCAGCCAGGGCUUUGUCAAGCUGGACCUUAAAAGCCUCCAAGGAUAGAAAGUCCACCCCCUCUCUAGGUAACUCAUUCCAGUGCUUCACCACCCUCCUAGUGAGAGGUUUUUCUCCAAAAUAACUUCCCUUGCUGCAACUUCACAUCCUGACUGGAAUUAAUCGGGAUGGAGAAUGUGAUCAGACUUCAUCCAACUCUUUCAAACCCUGAUGGAUACCAGGGUGCAGUUUGGUUUGGCUACUUUAUGUUAACUGAAUUGUUUCAUUACUACUUACUUACCUGCUCACAAAGGAAAAAUAUUUUAAGGCCAGGAUCUUGCAAAGCAUUGAGUAGCGGUAUAUGGCAUAAGACAUCAUGAAACUCCUCAUCACCUAAGUGUGCACCUUCUCUGUUCUCUUCCUAUUGCUGUAUUGAGAUGAACAGAUUCACGGCUACACAACAGGAUGACUUAAUUUCCGGCUGCAGAAAAUCUGAACCCCAGAUGAGUACUGUAUUUCUUGAUAUAAGUUCUAAUAUAGAUAGAUCGGAUUGGGUGUCUACAGCUGAGGAAAGGAUAAGCUUCUCCGAUUUAAUGUUGUAAGAAAUGGAAAGAUUAUGGAAACUCUGUGCCUCGGCAGAAAAUUGGCUUCAGCCUCCUUUCCUGGAUGCUGCAGAUGGAAGGGUCCCAGUAGGCCAAAGCAAAAGCAAAGCGGAGAGAGAAGAGGAAGGAAAAGCAGGGAAGUGGGGUGGCAUAUCUGCACUCUCUUAAAAAAAAAAAAAACCUGGCAACAAAUGCAGACAAAACAAAAAGCGGAGGAGAGUGGAAAAGAGAAACGGAGAGAGAGUCUGAAAAAUGAAUAGUGAUGGAAAGGUCCAGGGUGAGAGGAGCUAUAAAGAGAAGGCUCGCCCCAGGAUCUCGUGUGACUUACACAAUCUGUUUAACAGCGAUCGGUCAUGUUCUUUCCCUGACACUAGCUGCAGCAGCAGCAGCUCUAUGCUGACAGGCAGCUGGGAUAAAUGAUUACUGACAUAUGCUAAUAGGACAGACUUAGGCAGGGCAUAAGAGGAAUACAUCAAGGUGUUGCAAAACACAUUUCUUGGUCAAAACUCUCCAACUUGUUCAAGUACAUUAGCUUCAGGGAGCUGCAAAUCCUCGGCGUUGUUUAAACUGCAGUUAAAAAUCAACAGAGUGGCGGAAAAUAACCCCCAAACAAUGGGCCUGCUCAGAGGGCUGAGAGGUUCUUUGCAGUGGUAUCUAUCAAUGCCAGAUGUGAUCUUUUUUUUUUAAUUAAUUAUUUAUUUUUUUUGACCAUGCGAACUCCCCACAGGUCUUGGAUGCUCUUGGUUUUUCUGCUGUUUCCCCACCCCCGCCUCAGCCCAGCUCUCUUUUUCCCUUCCUCUGUAAAUGCCCCCUGGCUCUUUUACUUGCAGCUUCCCUGUAUUUUGCACCACAAACAAAAAUACCAGAAUUCAAACAAGUGCCCUAGAGUACAACAGGAUGCACAGAUUAAUACCGCAAGAUGUUUAGAUCCCAUGCUAGAACGUGCAAUCUUAAGCUUGACUCUGAUCUGGAUCAAUUUAGGCAAGUGUCAUGUUCCUGAACAGACCCUCCAUUCAAUCUCGGGGGGGGAAAAAUAUUGUCAACCAGACAGUUUAGAGAAAUGCCGAGAGUGCAGGUUUUCUGGAAAUCUUUAAUUCUCAGGGUAAAAAUACUUCUUGAACCAAAUUAACCCAGCGUGGCAUGAAUGAUUGAUGGUGCAAACCAACAAGAUGGCCUGCUUUGUAAAUGGCCAUUUUCUCUACAGUAAUUCCUGACCAUUGGAGGAACAUCUCUUGCACUUUUUGAGCAUCCUAACUUCAAGAGGUGAUGCUAGUACUAAAGAUGUACUCAUCUGGUAAGGCCAUUUAAAAUGCCCACCUUGGUGAUAUGAUGAUUAAAAACCUUCCUUCUGAGUUAUCUGCUCUUGGUUGGGUUUUAUUUAAGCUCCAAGUAUUGCAUGUGCGUCUAUUGUGAAU